UCUUACUGGUUGGAAUCGUUCUCUGUGUGCCAUGUUCAUCACUCCUUUCUGUCUCUUUAUCGUUCUUUGUUAGUAUUGACAAGGGUUUUCUCCUCAGGAAAGUGAUGAAGAUGCCAGAAAAACAAAUGAGCUGAGAGUAGAAACUUCAACAAUAAGCCAUGUAAGACAAGAGUAUUGUUUUCUGUCUCUCUCAAAUUACAGUCUCUAAAGCCUUGUUCCUGUCCCAGACUCAAUGCUCCCCUUCAAGUCUCUUUUUUAAAUGAAUAUUGGGCAUGUGUGUUCUUCCAAGAAUAGUGAUGAAGAUGACAGCCAAACAGAAGAGCAGAGAGCAGAAACUUUUAAUGAAGCACAGGUGAGACGAAACUACAACCAUUACUCUUUUUCUGUCUCUGAAACUACACAACCUUCACAGUCUUAUCUCUUCUUUUUCUGAUGUUUUUGAUGACUAAUGGACUUUUGUUCUUCCUCUAUGGUCCAUCAUGUUCACAAAAGAGCUCUCAGAGCAAUGAUGACGCUGGCAGCCAAACAGAAGUGCAAAGAGCAGACCUUUCCACAUUGGAACAGGUGAGAUUAAACACAAUUGCUCACCUGUGGAACACCCACAUCAUUCAGAGAAGCAGAAAUGCAGUUGCACCUAGUGGCCGGCCUCACAUGAUGUACAUGCUUCCUCAGCUUUUUGGGGAAAGGACCAUCUCAAACAUGCAUCUGUGCAAGCAGUACAAACAUGCAGAGCACAAUGCAUACAACGAGGACCUUACCCAUGUGAUGAGACUGCCAUCCACUGGAAGGAUAAGAUGUGAUUGAUCCACUGAAGCAGAGGAUGAAUGCUGUAACCAUCACUGCUGUGUUACACAUGGACCAAAGUUUCCUCUCAGCCUGUUGUUAAUAGAAAUGAAACACUUUCUCAUCUGCUUUGCUUCAGUUCAUUUGGGGCCAACAUUGUUGAAUUGAUUGAUCACCACAUUUGACACUACACAGAUAUACAGUAUGUAUGAAUAACGUGCUUCAAGUAGAGAAAAUAAG
rnacentral:lncRNA from 1 species